GAGGACAGUAAGACAGCUCACACUGAGUGUCAGGAGGGAGCAAACACAGGCUGGAGAAACUGCCCUGAAGAGGACAAAGGACAUGGGGCACCCUGCACCACCACAGGCACCAUCCUGGAGAGAGCUGAGGGCUGGUUGAGCAUGGACAGCCCUGUGCAGGAGCAGAGGUUGCAGUGUGGUGGGACUGGUCUCACUGCUAUUGUCACUGCCUUCAAAUUUGUGCUGACAGGGCCAGAAAAGAAUCAAACAAUGAGAUUUCAGCAUUUUGCAUCACAAGGAUUCCUCUAAACCAAUUGGUGCAGUUUUGAGAUGGUUCAGACAAAGGAAACUUCAAAAAUCUUUCAAGGUACAACUGUAUGUCUAGAACUUCAGAGAUACAUUCAAGCUAAUGAAGGGAUGAGAAAGAAUGGAUGGAUGCACUUUAUUAAUAAAAAAAAUGGAUGAAAGAAAAUGGAAACAGUCUUUGAACAUGUGUAUCCAGAGACUCUCUGAGAAUAGAGGCUGUUACAUGAGCAAUGAUUCCAGGGGGAGAAGGAAGAUAAAGUUCAUUUAUUGACCUUAGUAGUUUUCCUGAGAAAUUCAACAGACAUUUAAAUUAAUAUAGAUGGAUGGUCCUCCAAAUACACAAGGGAGUUCUUCAGUUCUGUGUUUCAUCACCAUGUGCCAAAUCAAUACAUUCUGUUAGAAAUAAAAAUGCAAUAACAAACAAUUAUUCUCUGAUGAAGCUGGAGGAAAUAACAGAAUAUUCUGUGGAACAGAAAAUUGAUACAUGGCAGAAUGAGGC